rnacentral:rRNA from 1 species
UACGUAGGGCGCAAGUGUUAUCCGGAAUUAUUGGGCGUAAAGAGCUCGUAGGCGGUCUGUUACGUCUGCUGUGAAAACCCAGGGCUUAACCCUGGGCUUGCAGUGGAUACGGGCAGACUAGAGGCAGGUAGGGGAGAAUGGAAUUCCCGGUGUAGCGGUGAAAUGCGCAGAUAUCGGGAGGAACACCGGUGGCGAAGGCGGUUCUCUGGGCCUGACCUGACGCUGAGGAGCGAAAGCGUGGGGAGCGAACAGG